rnacentral:lncRNA from 1 species
AUGAUAGUGGACAUCGGUUACUGGUUCAAGGGUAGCACAAAUCGGAAAGGAUACCUGAGAGGAAGAAAGUUGAACAUUGGGUUCACAACCAGGGCUAAACUCAACAGGCUACUUGACGAGGGUGACAUCACACCACAGCAGGUGGAUUCAUUCCAUGAAGCUGUGGUAUGUUUCCUGACAAGUGCUGUGGCCUAUGCACUAAAGAAGCUGCCACUGAAAGAGCCACUGCUCAAACAUUCAAAAUUUGUAGACGUACGGCAGAGGGCUGAAAGUGACAUCGGAGCUGUCCUGUACUUUGUUGAAAGGUUUCCCCAUCUCCUCCCAUACCAUGGUCCAGAGGAGCAUGACCUUCUGGGUGAGGAGUUUCUAAGUUAUCAGACCAUGCCAAUGAUAUCCCUGCAGGAUGAAACUGAAAUGGAAAGCUUCUGGGCUGAAAUGGCAACCCGGAAACAUAAGCCUAGCACUGGAUGGCACCCUGUCCUCAAUAAUGACCAUAAAGAUGGCCGACCUGGAGCCCUGUUUCAAAUGGGAGCCCCCCUCAGAUGUCCUCAAGGCCUCCAAGAAGGCCACAGGCCAGUAUAA